UUUAAGUAGCUUAAGUUUAGAGUUUAAUAUUGAAGAAAUUAAUGUGAUUUUUUAAAUCCUUGAACAA
rnacentral:tRNA from 1 species